rnacentral:rRNA from 1 species
GAUGGACGCUGGCGGCGUGCCUAAUACAUGCAAGUCGAGCGAAUGGAUUGAGAGCUUGCUCUUAUGAAGUUAGCGGCGGACGGGUGAGUAACACGUGGGUAACCUGCCCAUAAGACUGGGAUAACUCCGGGAAACCGGGGCUAAUACCGGAUAACAUUUUGAACCGCAUGGUUCGAAAUUGAAAGGCGGCUUCGGCUGUCACUUAUGGAUGGACCCGCGUCGCAUUAGCUAGUUGGUGAGGUAACGGCUCACCAAGGCAACGAUGCGUAGCCGACCUGAGAGGGUGAUCGGCCACACUGGGACUGAGACACGGCCCAGACUCCCACGGGAGGCAGCAGUAGGGAAUCUUCCGCAAUGGACGAAAGUCUGACGGAGCAACGCCGCGUGAGUGAUGAAGGCUUUCGGGUCGUAAAACUCUGUUGUUAGGGAAGAACAAGUGCUAGUUGAAUAAGCUGACACCUUGACGGUACCUAACCAGAAAGCCACGGCUAACUACGUGCCAGCAGCCGCAGUAA